AAAGCGCUUCCCUUCAGAGUG
rnacentral:miRNA from 5 species